AAGUAGUGAAAUAAUAAUUUUAUAUUUAGUUUCGACCUAAAAAUAAGAGUAAAUACUCCUUACUUU
rnacentral:tRNA from 1 species